rnacentral:sRNA from 1 species
UUGACACCACUGGUGGCUCUUUAUCCACAGAACAUCUACAGCACAGCAGUAACUAUAAAUGCUUCCCUGUACUGCCCAGAGAAUAUGCCUCAACCCUGAUCCAUCUUGGCAAGGCCAUCUGGGUGCGUGAGAUGAUAGUUAUUCAAUCUCUGUGCCUCU